ACGACCUUUGGAACGGAUGACGUCACGACCAAUGACAGUGCAGAGCUCCUGAUGCCCUGGCGGAGAAAUCAACGGACGCUUCAUUGCUUCGGGUGGAUCUCUGAGUGGCGGUCAUGUUGUUGGUGCUCUCCUCGCCACGAAUUUCGUGACGAGCGACUGUUUUUGACUGAGUGAUGUGUGUGGAAAUACUUCGGUGCCGUCCCCAUGAUGACAGCGGUGCUGCCACCUGACGUGAUGCUUUCCGACCUGCCUGGUGUGACGCUUUGCAAAUGGCGGCGCCCAUGGGCUGAUGCUGUUACCGAACCUGGACUGACACAUUAAUGAAUUGAAUGUGUAUAGUAAUGACUUGAAUUAUUAAAUGAGUUUAGAAAGUGCA